rnacentral:hammerhead_ribozyme from 1 species
GUACUGAUGAAGAGUCCCAAACUAGGACGAUACAGUUGUUCAGUAC